UAAAUACUCUCUAGUGACCGAUAGUGAACCAGUACCGUGAGGGAAAGGUGAAAAGCACCCCGGAAGGGGAGUGAAAUAGAACCUGAAACCGUGUGCUUACAAGUAGUCAGAGCCCGUUAAUGGGUGAUGGCGUGCCUUUUGUAGAAUGAACCGGCGAGUUACGAUUUGAUGCAAGGUUAAGCAGUAAAUGUGGAGCCGUAGCGAAAGCGAGUCUGAAUAGGGCGUUUAGUAUUUGGUCGUAGACCCGAAACCAGGUGAUCUACCCUUGGUCAGGUUGAAGUUCAGGUAACACUGAAUGGAGGACCGAACCGACUUACGUUGAAAAGUGAGCGGAUGAACUGAGGGUAGCGGAGAAAUUCCAAUCGAACCUGGAGAUAGCUGGUUCUCUCCGAAAUAGCUUUAGGGCUAGCCUCAAGUGAUGAUUAUUGGAGGUAGAGCACUGUUUGGACGAGGGGCCCCUCUCGGGUUACCGAAUUCAGACAAACUCCGAAUGCCAAUUAAUUUAACUUGGGAGUCAGAACAUGGGUGAUAAGGUCCAUGUUCGAAAGGGAAACAGCCCAGACCACCAGCUAAGGUCCCAAAAUAUAUGUUAAGUGGAAAAGGAUGUGGCGUUGCCCAGACAACUAGGAUGUUGGCUUAGAAGCAGCCAUCAUUUAAAGAGUGCGUAAUAGCUCACUAGUCGAGUGACACUGCGCCGAAAAUGUACCGGGGCUAAACAUAUUACCGAAGCUGUGGAUUGUCCUUUGGACAAUGGUAGGAGAGCGUUCUAAGGGCGUUGAAGCAUGAUCGUAAGGACAUGUGGAGCGCUUAGAAGUGAGAAUGCCGGUGUGAGUAGCGAAAGAUGGGUGAGAAUCCCGUCCACCGAUUGACUAAGGUUUCCAGAGGAAGGCUCGUCCGCUCUGGGUUAGUCGGGUCCUAAGCUGAGGCCGACAGGCGUAGGCGAUGGAUAACAGGUUGAUAUUCCUGUACCACCUAUAAUCGUUUUAAUCGAUGGGGGGACGCAGUAGGAUAGGCGAAGCGUGCGAUUGGAUUGCACGUCUAAGCAGUAAGGCUGAGUAUUAGGCAAAUCCGGUACUCGUUAAGGCUGAGCUGUGAUGGGGAGAAGACAUUGUGUCUUCGAGUCGUUGAUUUCACACUGCCGAGAAAAGCCUCUAGAUAGAAAAUAGGUGCCCGUACCGCAAACCGACACAGGUAGUCAAGAUGAGAAUUCUAAGGUGAGCGAGCGAACUCUCGUUAAGGAACUCGGCAAAAUGACCCCGUAACUUCGGGAGAAGGGGUGCUCUUUAGGGUUAACGCCCAGAAGAGCCGCAGUGAAUAGGCCCAAGCGACUGUUUAUCAAAAACACAGGUCUCUGCUAAACCGUAAGGUGAUGUAUAGGGGCUGACGCCUGCCCGGUGCUGGAAGGUUAAGAGGAGUGGUUAGCUUCUGCGAAGCUACGAAUCGAAGCCCCAGUAAACGGCGGCCGUAACUAUAACGGUCCUAAGGUAGCGAAAUUCCUUGUCGGGUAAGUUCCGACCCGCACGAAAGGCGUAACGAUUUGGGCACUGUCUCAACGAGAGACUCGGUGAAAUCAUAGUACCUGUGAAGAUGCAGGUUACCCGCGACAGGACGGAAAGACCCCGUGGAGCUUUACUGUAGCCUGAUAUUGAAAUUCGGCACAGCUUGUACAGGAUAGGUA
rnacentral:rRNA from 1 species